rnacentral:rRNA from 1 species
AGAGAGAGACAUGCGCGCAUAUCAAUAAGCGGAGGAAAAGAAACUAACUAGGAUUCCCUCAGUAACGGCGAGUGAAGCGGGAAGAGCUCAAAUUUGAAAUCUUCAAGGUUCUACCUUGACGAAUUGUAGUUUAAAGAAGUGUUUUCUGUUGGAGUUUUGGUAAAAGUUCUUUGGAAUAGGACAUCAUAGAGGGUGAGAAUCCCGUAUUUGACCAUUAUUUUCCAGCUGUGUGAUACACUUUCAAAGAGUCGGAUUGUUUGGGAAUGCAGUCCAAAAUGGGUGGUAAAUUUCAUCUAAAGCUAAAUAUUGGCGAGAGACCGAUAGCGAACAAGUACCGUGAGGGAAAGAUGAAAAGAACUUUGAAAAGAGAGUUAAACAGUACGUGAAAUUGUCAAAAGGGAAGCGUUUGACACCAGUGUUGUUUUCUCGAAAAUCAAUUAAAAAAGGCAGGAUUUUGUGUUGUAUUGACUUUAUCAGCUUUCUGCACUCUUCUCUUGUCUUUUUUAAUGCACUUUUCGUUUAACAAGUCAACAUCAAUUUCUUUUGUUGUAAAAGGGUCAUUGGAAGGUGGCUUUCUUUUCGGAGAAAGUGUUUAUAGCCUUUGGCCUCUGCAAUCGGAGAGAUUGAGGUCUGCAGCGUAGAUCCUUCGGGGUUAGAUACAUUUGUGCUAAGUUAUAGCCUUUCAUAGACAACUUGUUGACUAUGAUCAGUCAUGUAGCUUACUCGCUUAUGCUAUUUUACCUACGCUUAGGAUGUUGAUGUGAUACUGCGAGCA